rnacentral:rRNA from 1 species
AACGAACGCUGGCGGCGUGGAUAAGACAUGCAAGUCGAACGGGGCAUUUUGGUAGCAAUAUUGAAAUGUUCAGUGGCGGACGGGUGAGUAACACGUGGGCAACCUGCCUCAUAGAGGGGAAUAGCCUCCCGAAAGGGAGAUUAAUACCGCAUAACAUCAUUGGAGGGCAUCUUCCGGUGAUCAAAGGAGCAAUCCGCUAUGAGAUGGGCCCGCGGCGCAUUAGCUAGUUGGUGAGGUAACGGCUCACCAAGGCGACGAUGCGUAGCCGACCUGGGAGGGGGAUCGGCCACAUUGGGACUGAGACACGGCCCAGACUCCUACGGGAGGCAGCAGUGGGGAAUAUUGCACAAUGGGGGAAACCCUGAUGCAGCAACGCCGCGUGAGUGAUGACGGCCUUCGGGUUGUAAAGCUCUGUCUUUGGGGACGAUAAUGACGGUACCCAAGGAGGAAGUCACGGCUAACUACGUGCCAGCCGCCGCCGUAA